rnacentral:rRNA from 1 species
GUUAGGAAUAUUGGACAAUGGGCGCAAGCCUGAUCCAGCCAUGCCGCGUGAGUGAUGAAGGCCUUCGGGUUGUAAAGCUCUUUAGUCCACGAAUAUAAUGACUGUAGUGGAAGAAUAAGCCCCGGCUAACUUCGUGCCAGCAGCCGCGUUAAUACGAAGGGGGCGAGCGUUAUUCGGAAUCACUGGGCGUAAAGCGUGCGUAGGCUGUUUUGUAAGUCAGAAGUGACAGCCCAGGGCUUAACCCUGGAAUUGCUUUUGAAACUACAAGACUCGAAUUCGGGAGAGGAUAGCGGAAUUGUCAGUGUAGCAGUGAAAUGCGUAGAUAUUGACAGGAACACCAGUGGCGCAAGCGGCUAUCUGGACCGAUAUUGACGCUGAGGCACGAAAGCGUGGGGAGCAAACAGGAUUAGAUACCCGGGUAGUCC